GAAUUGACGGGACCCCGCACAAGCGGUGGAUCAUGUUGUUUAAUUCGACGAUACGCGAAGAACCUUACCAGGUCUUGACAUCCCCUGCAAAGCUAUGGAGACAUAGUGGAGGUUAUCAGGGAGACAGGUGGUGCAUGGUUGUCGUCAGCUCGUGUCGUGAGAUGUUGGGUUAAGUCCCGCAACGAGCGCAACCCUUAUUGCUAGUUACCAUCAUUAAGUUGGGGACUCUAGCGAGACUGCCAGUGAUAAACUGGAGGAAGGUGGGGAUGACGUCAAAUCAUCAUGCCCCUUAUGACCUGGGCUACAAACGUGAUACAAUGGCUGAAACAAAGGGCAGCGAAGGAGCGAUCUGGAGCGAAACCCAAAAAGCAGUCUCAGUUCGGAUUGAAGUCUGCAACUCGACUUCAUGAAGUCGGAAUCGCUAGUAAUCGCGGAUCAGAACGCCGCGGUGAAUACGUUCUCGGGGUUU
rnacentral:rRNA from 1 species